rnacentral:tRNA from 1 species
GCCAAUGCUACUGGCCUAUAGCCCUUCGCUAUGAUGGAUGCGUAGGUCGCAGGUUCGACUCCUGUUUCCGGCACCA